rnacentral:tRNA from 2 species
GCCCCCAUAGCUCAGGGGAUAGAGCAUCGCCCUCCGGAGGCGGGAGCGCAGGUUCGAAUCCUGCUGGGGGCACUA